rnacentral:rRNA from 1 species
CCCUUAGAUGUGCUGGGCCGCACGCGGGAUACAAUGACCCGUUCAGAAAGUACUACCUGACCCGGAAGGGAGUGGGUAAUCUUUUUAAUGCGGGUCGUGCUAGGGAUCGAUCUUUGCAAUUAUAGAUCUUGAACGAGGAAUACCUAGUAAGUGCAAGUCAUCAGCUUGUACUGAUUACGUCCCUGGUGUUUGUACUCACCGCCCGUCGCUCCUACCAAUUUCGAAUGAUCCGGUGAACCUUUUGGAUUGGGCGUAAGCUCGAGAAGUUAAGUAAACCUUAUCAUUUAGAGGAAGGAGAAGUCGUAACA